rnacentral:rRNA from 1 species
CCAGACUCCUACGGGAGGCAGCAGUGGGGAAUAUUGCACAAUGGGGGAAACCCUGAUGCGGCGACGCCGCGUGAGCGAUGAAGUAUUUCGGUAUGUAAAGCUCUAUCAGCAGGGAAGAAGAUGACGGUACCUGACUAAGAAGCCACGGCUGACUACGUGCCAGCAGCCGCGGUAAUACGUAGGUGGCAAGCGUUGUCCGGAUUUACUGGGUGUAAAGGGCGUGUAGCCGGGCUGACAAGUCAGAUGCGAAAUCCGGGGGCUCAACCCCCGAACUGCAUUUGAAACUGUUGGUCUUGAGUAUCGGAGAGGCAGGCGGAAUUCCUAGUGUAGCGGUGAAAUGCGUAGAUAUUAGGAGGAACACCAGUGGCGAAGGCGGCCUGCUGGACAGUAACUGACGUUGAGGCUCGAAAGCGUGGGGAGCAAACAGGAUUAGAUACCCUUGUA